rnacentral:rRNA from 1 species
UACGUAGGGUGCGAGCGUUAAUCGGAAUUACUGGGCGUAAAGCGUGCGCAGGCGGUUUUGUAAGCCAGAUGUGAAAGCCCCGGGCUUAACCUGGGAAUGGCAUUUGGGACUGCAAGGCUGGAGUGUGGCAGAGGAGACUGGAAUUCCUGGUGUAGCAGUGAAAUGCGUAGAUAUCAGGAGGAAUACCGAUGGCGAAGGCAGGUCUCUGGGACGGUACUGACGCUAAGGCGCGAAAGCGUGGGGAGCGAACAGG